UCGAAUUAUACGUAAUAUUACAUGUCUUCGAUUUAUACGAUGAGAAUAAUGAAAAUCGGGUUUCCGUCUCUAACGCCAUCUAGAUAUUAAUCUCACGCUGAAUAUCGUUCCAGGAAUCGAGUGAAUGAUAUUCCUUGUUUCGAGUAUCAAAUGUGUAACACGUCGACGCGAGAAAAAGCGUGGCGAUUAGUUUACGUUACAUUCUCGAAGGGUGUGAAAAAGAGAGAUUUGGAAAUUUUCAAGACCGCGUCAAUUCACCGCGCUCGUUUCGAGUGUUCCGAGAAGUUAUGUGUGAGACGAGACGCCGUUCCCCUCAAAUUGGAAAAAAAAAAGAAAAAGAAUUUAUUUGGAAACGAUCGAGCGUGGUUUUUUUCAUUAAUGUAAUUUUAAUUUUUAGAUUUCGAGCGAGAUUUAAGAGAGGGAGAAGAAGUGAUGCAUUUCGAUUGACUUUUGUUGUGUACGCAGCUUGUGCAACGUAACAAAGAUUCUAUUUUAUCGAGAGCAAGAAAAAUGGAAACGCUGGUCGGAAUUGACAGAGGGUGAAAAAGGAGGGUUCGGAAUCAUUGUUACGGAAAAUGGAAUACGGAGAUGGAAUCUUUUCUGAAAGCUUUUCUUUCGCUACGAGGGUGAGGAAAGUGAAGUGACGUGUAUGGCGAGAGGAAGGGUUCGAAGCUCAGUUUCGAUCGCAGCGCCAUCGUACGAACCACGCGAAAGGUCAUUAGCUAGUAAUCGAUAAGGUAGAGAGGGGUGGGUCGAUAAUGUCGGCUCUGGAAGAAAACAACCCCAUUUCAUUGCGCGUCAUUGGGACGCGGAGGAAAUUCC